rnacentral:lncRNA from 1 species
GAAAAGGUGUCUCGCUCUUACUGCACACCUGACACUUUCUUUCGUGUGAUUAGGAUUAAACUUCCCUGCAUCUAACUUUAUCUAUAGCUCAGAUUAAGGUUUAGUGAAAUAGGACCCACGGAGCUGACAACAUGGUUUAAGAUUUGGCAAAACUCAAGAACUCAUGAGAGACUGAAAGAAGCUGCAAGAGAUAUUGAGCUGAGAUGGCUACCAUCAUAAUCUGUGAGUAAAUGAGUGACUAAAUCGAAACCCCAACCAUCAAAAAUCUUAAAAAACAAAUCAGUAGCUGCCUAAACUUUUCAUUUGCGAAAACUACAUUUUUCAGGAUAAAAAUCUCAUGUUUAUAUCAGAUAAUGCACUUUAUAUUCCAUCAUCUGGAGAAUGUUGAAAGGCAUGAUGAAGACCAGUACAUGAGGUCUCAUGGGUGUGGUUGUGUCAACAAGAGGUUCAACAAUGGAUAAACACCACUGGGGCAGGAUUUUACUAAUACAAUUAAUAAUGAUCAUGCUCCAUGUUCAAUCAAUCAAGGGUUAGAAUCAGGGUUUGAGCUGGUAAUUGGGAGCUUGAAUUCCAAACACCAAAUUCUGUUACCUCUUUCCAAAGGGGAGGAAGUGACAAACGAAUUCAUGUGCUGGAAGCAUUGUAGACAAAUGUAAGGGAUUUGAUCUUGCAGACAACUUGCAGGCAUUAAUUCAGGAGUUUAGAACAAAUCCAUUUUUGGUAAUAUUCUUCCCACUUUUGUUGCUACUAUGUAUAACUAUUAUAAGAAUAACAGAUGAGCCACUCUUUUUAGAUUUCUCGGGUGAUCUGGAAAAAUGAAACCAGCAACGCAUUCAGAGAGAGAAAAAUGCAUCUCUCAUGUGAAUUCAAGCAUCGAGCAAUGUGAGAAUUUAUGAGAAGCAGCACAAGGCUUGCAAGUGUACUUGCCUCCUUUUGGGAACUUAGCUAAGAUCCUCUGGCAUUUGUUUAUGAACCUCUUCCCUUCUCUCAUCCUCUUGUUUAUGAACAUAUACAAGGAAGAAUAGACAUAGCAUUACCUAUCUGGCAUUGAAAUAUAAGGUUUGAUCCUGCUAGGCUCCUUUUAAUAGAGGAUAUUCCUAGCUAUAUAUCUUCAAUUUUCUCAUACUAGGACUGAUAGUAAUUAGUGGCUGUUAUUGCCAAUGCUGAAGUGCUUGCAUGGAAUCUAAUCUGAUGCACUUAUCUAAUCACAAAUCUUGUAAACUUAUCCUGGAUAUAUAGGGGGGGAAGAGUUUGUUUUCUAACAUUCUUAAAGUUAUAUUAUUUCAAUAAAUUUGAUUUUAUCAAAAU